GUGAGGCAUUGAGCUAACUGAUACUAAUUGCCCGUGAGGCUUAACCAUACAACACCCAAGGGGUUU
rnacentral:rRNA from 1 species